UAAAUAAAUAACCCUAAAACAAACUAAUCAAACUUUCACCAUCUCUUUCUACAGAAGAAAUUGCCACUGGUAAUACUCUCUCCUUUCCUUCAUUUAUCUUUCUUUAUUUGUAUGUAUGUUUAUGUUAUAUAUUUAUGUAUAUGUUGCAUAACGUACUCGCUCACAAACUCUCACUUAAAAUUUGUGCCUAAAGUAGAUUUGAUUUGAUGUACCAACAGUUUGAUGUAAUUCCCCAAAGAGGCUUCUCGCAUAGAGCCAUAGUCGUUGGCAGUUUAUAGUACUGUGUAUAUCAAUACAUGUUACGACCGCUUGGCCAGAAACUCAACCUUAAAAUUGACAAUCACAACAGCCUUUCCCAGCUCGGUGACAGUACGAAAUCAGUCUUCUAGUGAAAGUAGCCCUCCUCAUGGUCAAAUAUCCAAAUGUCAUACUAUAGUACCCGGUUUGAUAGCGGUUGUUACAACCAUGUUAAAAAGAAGUCGCCUUUAAGACAAUCCUGUAAAGGGACGGUGGUGUUGUGUUAAGUUGUCAGCCUAAUUAUUUUUGUUGUGCCAAACCAGUAUGGAAUUGAUAUCAUGAAAUGGAGUGUCAUUAAGCUUUUGGAUUAUUAUCAUAUAAGAGAAAAAGAGAGGUUCUGAAACGGUGGAAGAUGACGUAAUCUUACAUUGAAACAAAUCUUUAUAAAUCUUGCUUAUAUUUAUUUCUUUCUGUAAUUGAUUGCUCUUGGUGGAAUAGAAUGAAAAUUUCCAAUUCACUACAUUGUGCCCAACACUAUGCCCAAGUGGUUAUAAACCCACAAGUCAAUUUUUACUAUCCAUGUUUUAAACCUUUUUGACGGUGGUUUCUUCGUAUUUGGGAAGCUGAAUUUGAUUUUAAUUUGCUGUAUUUUGAAAUUUGAAAGUAACAAUGGGCGAGAAGAAGAAAGCUGGUGCAAUGCUAGUGAGGCUUGUUUUGGCCACUGGUACGGGAUGCUUCCAUGUGGUAAAGAAGACCAAAAGGCUUCAAAACAGUCAAAUAAAAGCCUCUUGUGAAUCGUCAUGUUUUGUUCACUGAGGCAAAGAUGAAGUGAGUGAUAUUCUUGUCUUCCAUUUCUUUUGACUCAUGUAUUGGCAUUUUAUUCGAAUCUUUGUUUUAAUAAUGGUAAACUUGAUAUCUUGAUACCUAAACGAUCAUAUUGGGUUGUGCUUUUUGCUACAUAUUUACUUGUCGUUUGAUAUUUUUGCUUUUUC
rnacentral:lncRNA from 1 species